AAUCUUUUAUUUUUCCUCAGAUUACAUCAAUGCAAUUUUUCAACAUUCAUCUUUCUGAUAUUUUGCAAUCCAUUUUCUCUUCCUCCCACGUAUUCAUUCUCCUUUCCCCAGAAGGCAGGACCUAAUGCAGUUAUGGGACCCAAUUCUAUCCAUAAUAAAUGAUUGAUCAAGUGGUCAAAAGUUUCUGCAUCAAAAGAAAGUCAUCCCAUAUUUAGCACACCUAAGGAUAAACUAAAGAAUUCUGAAAAUAUGUGCAAUACAUAAAAUCAAUGGACCUCCCACUUACAUGAAGAGGUACUGGAGUUUAUUCAGUAGUGUUGUGAUAUGGUCAGACUUCUGUUUCAGGAAGAUCACUUUGUCAGCUAAAAGGAGGAUUGAUUGGAGUGAGAACUGACAUUUAGAAGCCAUUGGUCCAGGUAAGAUGUAAUUCUAUCCAGUCUUGGGGUGGUGGGUGUAUGGAGGAAGAGAAAGAUACAGAUAUG
rnacentral:lncRNA from 1 species